CUCGCCUGCAGCCCUACCGUCAUGUCAUUCACGGUUAGGGCGACGCGGCCGUUGGCGAGGCGGUGGUGGGCAGCAUCUGGGAGCAAUCGAUGACGACCCACUAUCUUAUCCUCACAGGCGCCGCUCCUCAUGAUGGUCUCUUCUGGGCAACCUCUGAUUUGGUGGCGCGAGACGUGGAGGAGACCAAAUUUGUUGGAGCACGUCGAACGCGCAAGGCGUGGUGGACUCCCUACCUCUCCCCAGGUUUCCUCCUCUGCCCAAUACCCCCAAUUUGAAAUUCGAUUUGGGGAUUUCAGGCCUCUUAAUUUGAGCUCCACAACAUAUCUACUUUAAUGGCUUCCGUCGGUUCUCUGUUGUCGUGCAUUCAGUAUAUGAAUCCUUUGGUUUCCUCUUCUCGAAUGACCUGCUGACCGCUUCUCCACCGCUGGGAUGCCCAACAAUGCUGUCCUUGCCUCCGCCUGCAUCUCCACCUAGGGCCGCCAUCGCGUCCGCCCUUUUCUUCAAAAGGGCCUGCUGCCGCAUUGACGAGCCUGGUCUUCGCUUCUCCGUUUCCACUCGAAUUUCUCAUAUAUUCAAUCUCUAGAUUGCUAGGCCGUGAUUGCCGCUGGUAUGCAACGGCAAGAGGAAUCCAGUGUCCUGACUCCAGAAUCGUCAUCCUAUUCAACAUUCUCCUGCAGUUCAGUCGUAUAUAGAAAAAGUACAGUAAUAUUGUUUCAUGUAUGCUGCACAUUAGCGCUUGGAUUAAAGACCGCUCACGCUUAGAGCAUUUUAUUUUCAUAUGGGGUUGGAGUUCAGCUCCCCGUUUGCGGUUUACCGGGGAAUUUGUGGUUUCGCUCCGAUGGCAUCGUCUCCGGUGGUGUUGUAACUAAUGUGGUCGAUUCGUGAUGAUCUCACCAGCUACCGUCUUUACCCGGGCUGUGACUGUCGAUUUCUCGAGGAGUUACACCAGGUUAGCCACGAUGAAUACCAGCGACUCCCGCACCGGCCGAUGAUGAGCUCAACAUGAUGUCACUCCAACCUUAGGGUAUCGGGUGGCGGCAAGGAGCCCCGCGGCGGUGACAUCAGGGACACUCUGAAUCAAUUUGUCAAUUAGUCAAUUCGUCAGACACUUACACAAUGUCAGUUACCAUCUCCAGCGUGCCAUGGGAUUGAGCACGAGCCGUGCAGACUAGGACAAGAGUGGUGACGUCCACACCAUGGCCUUGAUGAUCUUGACGCUGUUGUAUCAUGGAGCUCUAGCUUGCUGCUUCAGAGUGUCACGCAGAACCUCUCAUUGGGAACUGAUUUCAGCUGACACCACAAAGGAAUUCAGGUGUUGGUUUUAUUGCUAGAUAUGACACGAAGAAAAUGCUCUGGCCAACAAGCAAUCUAGGAGGAUAUAUGAACUAUCAUCCACACAAUCUGGAUCGACAUAGUUGGAAGAUGAAUCGGUGCCUCGAGAGCUACCUUAAGAUGCAGGAUGUGCACACGGUCAUCUUCUUUCUUUUUUGCCCGACCCCAAGCAUCACUUAAGAGUUUCUUCUGUUACAAGUGUUUGUUUUCCACCAUAAUUAUGCGAGUUGAUUGGUCGGCAUUAUACGAAUUGGUUCAUGGUUUGUCCUCUUUGGAAAACACCAAGCUUGCUCCUCAUUAUACUACUGUAUGCCGUGCCAUGUGUUGAAAUUUCUCGGUACACUAUGGUUUAGGAUAACUUUCUGCUUAUAUUCUGAUGCUUUACCUACAGCCAACUGUUUCUACUCGAAUUCCUUUGUGGUUGAUGAGAUUCUAGAUGAUGUGCUUUCUGAUUAGGUUUACUGAGGUGAGUUUGUAUGAAUUUCUUAAUGCAGUUUUUUUUUUCAGUCCAAGAAGCAUUAAAAUCUUGCUUCCGUCCCAAGGGAACAUGAUGAAAGGAUGUACGCCAACUAAUCAUAUAGAUCAAUUCAAGGCACGGCUAAAAGAAGGUUCAGCUUACACCUUAGAAAAUUCAUCGUUGCUGAUGUGCAGAAUAAAUACAGAGUAGCAGAUCAUCCUUACAGAAUCAAAAUUACUCAGUGCUCAAAAGUUCAGGAAAUCAUUCCACAACCUGAUAACCCUCCUCUAUUUUCAUAUAAUGCAACUCAUUUGAGGUCCUGCAGACACGUGCAGUCGACAAUAGUCCUGUCAGGUAUUCACUUCACUGCACAUGUGAUCGAGUGCUUAUAUUAUUUAUUAUUGUUUCUUCUUAUUUUUCUACUCUGUAUUUAUUUCUCCUCUGUUAGGUAUUCACUUCAGUGCACAUGCUAGAUUAAAUUACACACUACCGUUGCGGUACACUGAUCUUACUCUGUUUUUCCCCCAGCAAGCAGUAAGAUACCAUCUGCAUCAUCAGACUAACCUGUUCCAACUACUCGAGACAGAGAUGAAGCACUGUCGAUGCUGUUUUUCGUUGUUAUUUUCUUUCAGCUUUCUACUAGAAGCAUUAAAUUCCCUGCUCAUUCUUCCGUUGGAGUUCCUCACAGCAAUAGGCUUAGAAUAGCAGAUACUGAAGUGCACAUACUGCUGGUCAUCCUCGCUGAGCUCUGUUAAAAUUCAUUUCUUAGAGUUUAGUGUUUGCUGAACAUAUGCAGUGCUUGGUGAGGUGUAGGUGUGUUGGUUCGCAUGUGUUCUUUUCUUUUCUCCUCUUGCAUAUUCUGCAUAUGUAUCAUGGUUUUUUGUUGCUCUGUUUUCUAGGAUCAAUUCUUUACGCAAGACGAAGAAGUUUCCACUUACUCCUUUAA